CCUACGGGAGGCAGCAGUGAGGAAUAUUGGUCAAUGGACGGAAGUCUGAACCAGCCCUGCCGCGUGCAGGAAGACGGCUCUAUGAGUUGUAAACUGCUUUUGUACAAGGGUAAACCUGAAUACGUGUAUUCAGCUGAAAGUACUGUAAGAAUAAGGAUCGGCUAAAUCCGUGUCAGCAGCCGCGGUAAUACGGAGGAUCCAAGCGUUAUCCGGAUUUCUUGGGUUUAAAGGGUGCGUAGGCGGAAGGAUAAGUUAGAGGUGAAAUGUCCGCGCUUAACUCGGGCACUGCCUCUAAUACUGUUGAUCUAGAGAGUAGAUGCGGUAGGCGGAAUGUAUGGUGUAGCGGUGAAAUGCUUAGAGAUCAUACAGAACACCGAUUGCGAAGGCAGCUUACCAAUCUAUAUCUGACGUUGAGGCACGAAAGCGUGGGGAGCAAACAGGAUUAGAUACCCCUGUAGUC
rnacentral:rRNA from 1 species